rnacentral:misc_RNA from 1 species
GUGGAGGAGGACGCCGAAGGUGGGGCUAAUGACUGGGGUGAAGUCGUAACAAGGUAGCCGUACCGGAAGGUGCGGCUGGAUCACCUCCUAACAGGGAGACAACAAAAUGUAAAUAUUAAUUUUGUCACCUUAGGUCGAUCGGUAUCUCAGAUUCUUAUUUUAAGAAUUUCAGUUUCUAAGUUUUUUCUAGGUCACACCCAUUACUUUUUCCUGGGCCAUUAGCUCAGGUGGUUAGAGCGCACCCCUGAUAAGGGUGAGGUCCCUGGUUCAAGUCCAGGAUGGCCCAUAUCUCUAUGUUGGGGGUAUAGCUCAGUUGGUAGAGCGCCUGCUUUGCAAGCAGGAUGUCAGCGGUUCGAGUCCGCUUACCUCCACUGAAUACCACCUCUUACAUAUUUUUAAAGGGGAAAAUUGUUUUGAGUCGUGUCCUAACUUGCUCUGAGUGAAUCUAGCUUCCUAUUUUUUUUUAAUAAGAUGCUGGACUCAUUGAAUUUUAUUCAUUGUUUUCAGAGAACCUUGACAACUGCAUAGAUUAUUUUUGAAGACAAUAAGCAUCUUUAAUGAUGCAGAUUUAUUAUUUGUGCUUAUGCAUUAAAUAACAAUUCUAUUAAGCUGAUGCUUCAAUUAUUGAAGUUAUUGGUCAAGCUACAAAGGGCUCACGGAGGAUACCUAG